AAUUUUGAGCGGCCAGAUCUGGAUUCAAUUUUUGAAUACCUUUACUCAUCCCCAUGACAUCCCCAUCCCAAGAAACUUCUGUUAUACGCCAGAUCGAUCAAACUUUCUUCUUCCCAGAUAAACCCUAAAACACAAACCCUCACAACCAUCUUCUCCACCGAUUUUAUUAUCCAGAUCUAUUCCUAUUCUUUCUUCUUCCCAGAGACUAAAACACAAACCCUCGCAACCAUCUUCUCCACCGAGAAACCGUCGUCUUCCCUGUUCUUCCUCAUCAUCAACUACGACUCCUCCCUCCGAUGGCACCAGGUUUUACUUUGUGUAUUUAGUCGUGAGAGUGAAGAUGAGCAGCAGCAGCCACCGACACAGAAGCGACCGUUUUUAGUAGCAGCUUGUUAAGGGAUCAAGGGCUAAUCUAACUAGGAAGGGUGGUUAUUGCUGGAACAGUUGGGUUCCUAAAAAGGUGGGAGUGGUGGCGUUGAUGGAAAGGUUGUCUACUUUCGCUGUUAUUAAUGACUUCAUCGUUUGUGAAAUCGGGGACCUUAAAGUUAUCUCGAGCAAGUGCGAAAACGGGAACUUCAAAAACCUUCAGAAUGACUUCAUCGUUUGUGAAAUCGGGGACCUUAAAGUUAUCUCAAGCAAGUGCGAAAAUGGGAACUUCAAAAACCUUCAGAAUGUCUUCAUUGUUUGUGAAAUCGGGGACAACUCUCCUUCGCCACAACAUUAGCGAAACAGAAAAAGGCUUCAUAUGUUUCUCAUAUUAACAACUAUCUUGGAAAAGAUAAAUUUUUGAAGCAAUUUCUUCCUUUAGACCCUGCUACCAAUGCUUUAUUUGAUCUUGUUAAAGAUGGAGCUCUUUUAUGUAAGUUGAUUAACGUGGCUGUCCCUGGUACGAUAGAUGAACGUGCUAUUAACACUAAAAAGGUUCUUAAAAGAAACGAGAAUCACACUCUUUGCCUCAAUUCUGCAAAUGCUAUAGGCUGUACCGUAGUUAACAUUGGCACACAGGGUAAUCUAUGGCAAGUGGUUUAGUUUGGUUAUUCUUAAGGUUUACCAAAAUUUUAAGUGAUUUUGGGAUAUUUUAUUGAAGGUAAAUGAGUUAAGGGGCCGCUGUAUUUUGGUUCCUAUAUGUUGCAAUAUAAAGGGUUUAUACCACUGGUUUUGGUUAGGGAUGAGCUCGGUACCGUCCGGUACCGAACCGGUACCGGUACCGAAAGAACCGGUACCGAAAAUCCUCAAAAGUGGGUACCGGUACCGGUACCAAAUAUACCCGGUUCGGUACGG